AUCUUUGCGCAGUGGCAAUAUCGUAACCAAUGAAGUAUAACUGAGGUGCGAUUAUUGCUAGCUGAAAACUUUUACCAAUACCCCCCCCCCCCCCAAGAGACGUGAAAUACCGUCUCUGUGGCAAUUUUUGGCAGCCUCUGAGGGGG